GCUCUCACACAGUAAAGGUGUCCUCUAAGCUGAUUGGUGUCUCCUAGGUGAUGUCCGUCCCACCCUGACGGUGCUGCCCCCCUCCAGUGAGGAGCUGCAGCAGGGGAAGGCCACGCUCAUGUGCCUGGCCAACAAGGGCUUCCCCUCAGACUGGAGUCUGGCCUGGAAGGUGGACGGCAGCAGCAGCAGCAGCAGCAGCAGCUGGGAGGAGAGCAGGAGCCCCGGGGUGCUGGAGAAGGACGGCCGCUACAGCUGGAGCAGCACCCUGAGGCUCCCUGCAGACCAGUGGAGGAAGGUGGGCUCUGUGACCUGUGAGGCCACCCAGGGCUCCCAGGCUCUGGUCUCAGAGACACUGAGGAGAGACCAGUGUUCCCAGUCCUGACAUGACUCACUGGGACUCUGCUACUGGUUUUACUCUGCUCUCUGAACUCUGUAACUCUCUCUGUGUCUGUGUCUCUUUCUUUCCGUAAGUCAUUCUCUAAUCACAUGUUUCAUGGUUAAAGUUUGUGUACUGGAUUUAAUUUGGAUUAGUUCAACACAAUAAAGACCAGUUCAUUCAAAUUUGUUGUUUUCAUUUCUGUUAUAGUGACUGUACUCUGUUACUCUGUCAUCAGAUCAUAUUAACAAUAUUCAACUUUAAGUAGUGAAGCUUCAUUGAUGUAAUAAUGCUCAUGCUGUUAACACUGUAAGAAAAUAAAAAAAGUUAUUUCAAAUUAAA